rnacentral:rRNA from 1 species
AGACCUUUAGUUUGAACCCCGAAACCAGGUGAGCUACCCCGAGACAGCCUAUAUUGAUUUAGGGCUAACCCGUCUCUGUGGCAAAAGAGUGGGAAGAGCUCCGGGUAGAAGUGACAGACCUACCGAACCUGGUGAUAGCUGGUUGCCUGAGAAGUGGAUAGAAGUUCAGCCUCGCACACCCCAAGCCAGAGAAUACACCACUAAGGCACUCAGGGAAAUGUGGGAGAGUUAGUUAAAGGGGGUACAGCCCCUUUAACAAAGGAUACAACCUUUGCAGGAGGAUAAAGAUCAUAAUAUAUAAAACAUGCUGCUCUAGUGGGCCUAAAGGCAGCCACCUAAACAGAAAGCGUUAAAGCUCAGGCAGAAAGAAGUUUAUUAUACCGAUAAAAAAUCUUACUCCCCUAAUUAUAUCAGGCCAACCCAUGCCAACAUGGAAGAGAUUAUGCUAAAAUGAGUAACAAGAAGACCUGCUCUUCUCCCAGCACAAGUGUAAGCCAGAUCGGACUAACCGCUGGAACUUAACGAACCCAACCCAAGAGGGUAGUGUGAAUAGUACAGACCCCAAGAAGAACUCACAACUAAACAAUCGUUAACCCCACACUGGAGUGCUAUUAUAAAGGAAAGACUAAAAGAGGGGGAAGGAACUCGGCAAACACAAGCCUCGCCUGUUUACCAAAAACAUCGCCUCCUGCAACUAUAUUGAGUAUAGGAGGUCCAGCCUGCCCAGUGACUACGGGUUCAACGGCCGCGGUAUUUUGACCGUGCAAAGGUAGCGCAAUCACUUGUCUCUUAAAUAGAGACCUGUAUGAAUGGCUAGACGAGGGCUUAACUGUCUCCCCCCUCCAGUCAGUGAAAUUGAUCUAUCCGUGCAGAAGCGGGUAUAAUUAUACAAGACGAGAAGACCCUUUGGAGCUUAAGGUACAAAAUCCAACCACGUUAAACGACCCCCUAAAGGGCAAGAACUUAGUGGCCAAUGAAGUUUUACCUUCGGUUGGGGCGACCACGGAGGAGAAAAAAGCCUCCGAGUGGACUGGGUUAAAACCCAAAGCUAAGAGAUACAUCUCUAAGCCGCAGAACAUCUGACCAAAAGUGAUCCGGCUAAAAAGCCGAUCAACGAACCAAGUUACCCUAGGGAUAACAGCGCAAUCCUCUCCCAGAGUCCAUAUCGACGAGGGGGUUUACGACCUCGAUGUUGGAUCAGGACAUCCUAAUGGUGCAGCCGCUAUUAAGGGU